rnacentral:rRNA from 1 species
UACGAAGGGGGCUAGCGUUGUUCGGAAUCACUGGGCGUAAAGCGCACGCAGGCGGAUUGAUAAGUCAGGGGUGAAAUCCCGGAGCUCAACUUCGGAAUUGCCUUUGAUACUGUCUGUCUUGAGUCCGGGAGAGGUGAGUGGAAUUCCUAGUGUAGAGGUGAAAUUCGUAGAUAUUAGGAAGAACACCAGUGGCGAAGGGCGGCUCACUGGCCCGGUACUGACGCUCAUGUGCGAAAGCGUGGGGAGCAAACAGG